rnacentral:rRNA from 1 species
CAGCCGCCGCGGUAAUACCGGCGGCCCGAGUGGUGGCCGCUAUUAUUGGGCCUAAAGCGUCCGUAGCCGGGUUGGGAAGUCCUCCGGGAAAUCUGGCCGCUUAACGGUCAGAAUGCCGGAGGAUACUCCCAGCCUAGGGAGCGGGAGAGGCCGAGGGUAUUCCCGGAGUAGGGGUGAAAUCCUAUAAUCCCGGGAGGACCACCUGUGGCGAAGGCGCUCGGCUGGAACGCGUCCGACGGUGAGGGACGAAGGCCAGGGGAGCAAACCGGAUUAGAUACCCGGGUAGUCCUGGCGGUAAACGAUGCGGACUUUGUGUCGGACAAGCUAUGAGCUUGUCCGGUGCCGGAGGGAAACCGUUAAGUCCGCCGCCUGGGGAGUACGGCCGCAAGGCUAAAACUUAAAGGAAUUGGCGGG